rnacentral:rRNA from 1 species
UACGGGGGGGGCAAGCGUUGUUCGGAAUUACUGGGCGUAAAGGGCUCGUAGGCGGCCAACUAAGUCGGAUGUGAAAUCCCCAGGCUCAACCUGGGAACUGCAUCCGAUACUGGAUGGCUUGAAUCCGGGAGAGGGAAGUGGAAUUUCCGGUGUAGCGGUGAAAUGCGUAGAUAUCGGAAGGAACAUCAGUGGCGAAAGCGACUUCCUGGACCAGUACCGACGUUCAGGCACGAAAGCGUGGGGAGCAAACAGG